CACCAACCAAUUCUGAAGUGAACAUAGUUUUAGCAGGGACAAAAGAUUUUAUAGAUUGUCCUAUGUGUACUUUCAUCUUGGAAUCUGCUGGUGGGUGUCGCAGACACGGCUAAUUUGGUCAUGAACCUUCAGCUUACAGCUUGCAAUAUCGGUAACGAACGUGGCAAUCAACUUCUCUGGUCUUCGUGAGUUUCCAUGCAAGAAAAUGAUAUAAGUCGCAUCGAUUGGGUCCUCCGCUUCCAGUUCGCAACAGAUUCUCAUGUCUCUGUUUGAUAGAUUGUUUAAGAGCUGACAGAAGAAAAUGUUCACAUACUAGCGAUAAUAACGAACUUUAUGAUACGAUCCUCAAAGGGCAGCAGUAAGUUAUACCUUCUUCAACUUUUACAUCCGUCCGAAGGCCGUAUGUUUGUGGUGUUACCUAAUCUAAUUCUCUUCAACUUCUCGAGUCUCCAACCGAGAGAAUGGUCUGAACAAAAAAAUGAUCUGAAAAAGAGAUAGAUGGUCACAAUCGGUGGCUGAUUAGAGAUACGAAUUAUUAACAACUUUGCAUGCUCUUACAGAAAGGGAUUUUCUCGAGUAUUUUAAAAAGCUCUGUUUAUGCCAGACAUCUCAUACUCACCUGAUCUGAAAUACAUUCGACAUGUUCAUUGUGUAGAUGCAGCGUCUCAAGCCAUGGUAGCUAAUCAGGGGCCAUCGUUCAGCACCUUUGAAAACUUCAACUCUAUAUCAUGUUGCUAGUUUGAAUAAGGAUUGGAAAGGAAGAACAGUCAAUUUUUAACUUAGGAAGUAGCUUACGUAGUGACAUGACGCCAGUGGAGGAUAGACUUUUCCUGCCGCUGAAACAAUUCAAAUCGAACAAAUCUUCCAAUUA